GAGGGUAUGGCUUAGUGGUAGAGCGUGUGCUUUACAUGUACAAGGUCCUGGGUUCAAUCCCUAGUACCUCCA
rnacentral:tRNA from 1 species